rnacentral:rRNA from 1 species
UACGGGGGGGGCAAGCGUUGUUCGGAAUCACUGGGCGUAAAGGGCGCGUAGGCGGGAUGGCAAGUCGGUCGUGAAAUCCCUGGGCUCAACUCAGGGGGGUCGGCCGAUACUGCCGUUCUUGAGGGAUGCAGAGGAGACUGGAAUUCCCGGUGUAGCGGUGAAAUGUGUAGAGAUCGGGAGGAACACCGGUGGCGAAGGCGGGUCUCUGGGCAUUCCCUGACGCUGAGGCGCGAAAGCGUGGGGAGCAAACGGG